GGAAAAGAAACCAACAGGGAUUGCCCCAGUAACGGCGAGUGAAGCGGCAACAGCUCAAAUUUGAAAUCUGGCCCCCCGCGGGCCCGAGUUGUACUUUGGAGAGGACGCUUCUGGCGCGGCGCCGUCCGAGUUCCCUGGAACGGGACGCCGGAGAGGGUGAGAGCCCCGUACGGGCGGCCGCCUAGCCUCUGCGAAGCUCCUUCGACGAGUCGAGUAGUUUGGGAAUGCUGCUCAAAAUGGGAGGUAAAUUUCUUCUAAAGCUAAAUACCGGCCAGAGACCGAUAGCGCACAAGUAGAGUGAUCGAAAGAUGAAAAGCACUUUGAAAAGAGGGUCAAACAGUACGUGAAAUUGUUGAAAGGGAAGCGCCUGUGGCCAGACUUGCGCCCCGCGGACCACCCGGCGCCUCGCGCGCCGGGGCACGCCAGCGGGGCGCAGGCCAGCAUCGGCUCUCUCGGGGGGACAAAGGCCGCGGGAACGUAGCGCCCUCGCGGCGUAUUAUAGCCCGCGGCGCCAUGCCCCCGGGGGGGCCGAGGACCGCGCUCCGGCAAGGAUGCUGGCGUAAUGGCCACCGGCGACCCGUCUUGAAACACGGACCAAGGAGUCAAGCAUUGGGGCGAGUGUCUGGGUGGCAAGCCCGCACGCGGAAUGAAAGUGAACGCAGGUGGGAGCUUCGGCGCACCACCGACCGAUCCUGAUGUCCUCGGAUGGAUUUGAGUAGGAGCCCCGCCGCUUGGACCCGAAAGAUGGUGAACUAUGCCUGUAUAGGGUGAAGCCAGAGGAAACUCUGGUGGAGGCCCGCAGCGGNUUCUGACGUGCAAAUCGAUCGUCA
rnacentral:rRNA from 1 species